GUUGGCUACGGUGACAUCUACCCUAAAACGUUAUUAGGGAAAAUUGUGGGAGGCCUCUGCUGUAUUGCUGGGGUUCUGGUUAUUGCCCUUCCUAUCCCUAUCAUUGUGAACAAC
rfam:Tupaia chinensis contig775, whole genome shotgun sequence.